UGACAUCCCGAUCAGGAUUAUCAGAGAUGAUGAUUGUCGGUUCGGCCGGAUCGGUGACAGGUGCUGCAUGGCUGUCGUCACCUCGUGUCGUGAGAUGUUGGGUUAAGUCCCGCAACGAGCGCAACCCUCGCCCUUAGUUGCCAUCAUUAAGUUGGGCACUCUAAGGGGACUGCCGGUGAUAAGCCGAGAGGAAGGUGGGGAUGACGUCAAGUCCUCAUGGCCCUUACGGGCUGGGCUACACACGUGCUACAAUGGUGGUGACAGUGGGCAGCGAGACCGCGAGGUCGAGCUAAUCUCCAAAAGCCAUCUCAGUUCGGAUUGCACUCUGCAACUCGAGUGCAUGAAGUUGGAAUCGCUAGUAAUCGUGGAUCAGCAUGCCACGGUGAAUACGUUCCCGGGCCUUGUACACACCGCCCG
rnacentral:rRNA from 2 species